AUUGAACGCUGGCGGCAUGCCUUACACAUGCAAGUCGAACGGGAACGGGCCUUCGGGUGCCGCCGAGUGGCGAACGGGUGAGUAAUACAUCGGAACGUGCCCGAUCGUGGGGGAUAACGAGGCGAAAGCUUUGCUAAUACCGCAUACGAUCUACGGAUGCAAGCAGGGGACCGCAAGGCCUUGCGCGGACGGAGCGGCCGAUGGCAGAUUAGGUAGUUGGUGGGAUAAAAGCUUACCAAGCCGACGAUCUGUAGCUGGUCUGAGAGGAUGAUCAGCCACACUGUGACUGAGACACGGCCCAGACUCCUACGGGAGGCAGCAGUGGGGAAUUUUGGACAAUGGGCGCAAGCCUGAUCCAGCCAUGCCGCGUGCAGGAUGAAGGCCUUCUGGUUGUAAACUGCUUUUGUACGGAACGAAAAGCCUUCUUUUAAUACAGGAGGGUCAUGACGGUACCGUAAGAAUAAGCACCGGCUAACUACGUG
rnacentral:rRNA from 1 species